GCUGGGUGUUGGCUGCGUAAUUGUGUCAGUCACUUUCCCUUGUGAACCAGGCGUCUGGAUGGGAAAUGAAUUUACUGAUCGUAUUCUGGGAGACUCUGGAGGAGUGUCUUGGCAAGCAGUGGGACCUGGUCCCCAAGUUGCCAUCCUAGGAUGGCAGCCACAUUUCACCAGGAGCCGCCAUGGAGCUCAGGAAGGAAUAAAAGCUCCCCGCUGUCUCUGGGACUCCAUGUGAAACAGUUCCUCAGGCUGCCAUGUGUCCUUCCUGGCUUUCAAUCUCCAACACACGUGAUGAAACUGAAAGAGAUGAUCUCAAAAUUUCAAUGACAG